rnacentral:tRNA from 1 species
GGGUGUGUAGCUCAGUGGUAGAGUGCUUGCCUGGCAUGCAUGAAGUCCUAGGUUCAAUCCCCAGUACCUU